rnacentral:rRNA from 1 species
UACGUAGGGUGCAAGCGUUGCCCGGAUUUAUUGGGCGUAAAGGGCGCGUAGGCGGCUCGGCACGUCCGUUGUGAAAUCGCCCGGCUCAACUGAGGAAGUGCAUCCGAAACUGGCAGGCUAGAGUACCAAAGAGGGUCGCGGAAUUCCCGGUGUAGAGGUGAAAUUCGUAGAUAUCGGGAGGAACACCGGUGGCGAAGGCGGCGACCUGGGUGGAUACUGACGCUGAGGUGCGAAAGCGUGGGGAGCAAACAGG